AUCUAUGGCCAUGCUACCCUGAACAAGCCCGAUCUCAUCUGAUCUCAGAAGCUAAGUAGGGUCAGGCCCGGUUAGUACUUGGAUUGAAGACACCUAGGAAGACCAGGUGCUAUAUGUA
rnacentral:rRNA from 1 species